UACGGGGGGGGGUAAGCGUUGUUCGGAAUUACUGGGCGUAAAGGGCUCGUAGGCGGCCAACUAAGUCAGACGUGAAAUCCCUCAGCUUAACUGGGGAACUGCGUCUGAUACUGGAUGGCUUGGAUUUGGGAGAGGGAUGCGGAAUUCCAGGUGUAGCGGUGAAAUGCGUAGAUAUCUGGAGGAACACCGGUGGCGAAGGCGGCAUCCUGGACCAACAUUGACGCUGAGGAGCGAAAGCCAGGGGAGCAAACGGG
rnacentral:rRNA from 1 species